AUUGAACGCUGGCGGCAUGCUUUACACAUGCAAGUCGGACGGCAGCACAGAGAAGCUUGCUUCUUGGGUGGCGAGUGGCGAACGGGUGAGUAACAUAUCGGAACGUACCGAGCAGUGGGGGAUAACUAAUCGAAAGAUUAGCUAAUACCGCAUAUCUUCUGAGGAAGAAAGCAGGGGACCAUUUGGCCUUGCGCUGUUUGAGCGGCCGAUAUCUGAUUAGCUAGUUGGUGGGGUAAAGGCCUACCAAGGCGACGAUCAGUAGCGGGUCUGAGAGGAUGAUCCGCCACACUGGGACUGAGACACGGCCCAGACUCCUACGGGAGGCAGCAGUGGGGAAUUUUGGACAAUGGGCGCAAGCCUGAUCCAGCCAUGCCGCGUGUCUGAAGAAGGCCUUCGGGUUGUAAAGGACUUUUGUCAGGGAAGAAAAGGGCGGAGUUAAUACCCCUGUCUGAUGACGGUACCUGAAGAAUAAGCACCGGCUAACUACGUG
rnacentral:rRNA from 1 species